CGCGUAGGCGGCUUGCCAAGUCAGGGGUGAAAUCCUGCAGCUUAACUGUAGAAGGGCCUUUGAUACUGGCGAGCUCGAGGGAGGUAGGGGUAUGUGGAACUUCCGGUGGAGCGGUGAAAUGCGUUGAUAUCGGAAGGAACGCCGGUGGCGAAAGCGACGUACUGGACCUCUUCUGACGCUGAGGCGCGAAAGCUAGGGGAAGGCAAACG
rnacentral:rRNA from 1 species